rnacentral:lncRNA from 1 species
GCUAUCUUUUUAUAUUUUUUAAUGAAAAAUUUAUAUGAAAGUGUAAUGGUGAAUGAUAGAUUAUGUCACGCUCCAAUCUCCGCCAAUUUGGUCGGGUUCGGGUCACAUCAACAGACGCUGAACGGACAGAGCCUCUCCUGUCCGUCUAAGGCUCUAACCACAUGAAUAAAUAAGCAAUCAACAAGGGAUUUGCAUAUGUAAUAUAAGGCCUGCACGAGAGCAAGCAACAACGGAAGCGAAAGUUCUAAGCUAAAUAAUCAAUGUAUAUGAUAUUUGAUUAAAUUUAAACCAAAUACAAGUAAAUAAGAUUAUUACAUUCCAUUCAACCAUCAUUUCUUUUUACAUUUAGCCAUCCACCAAAUUACAUGGUUGUUUACAACUUUACAUCUCUAAAUCAACAAAAUAAAGUUGAUGCAUGUAUACCAAAAGUGAAAUGGCUACAAAAUGCAUAAAGUCACGGUGGCCGCUAUCUACGGCGCUAUACCCUUACCUGGUCCUCCGCCGCCCUGCUCGUGUUAGGACCUGUAAGGUUAGUGGUGUGAGAACUACAACGAAAUUUUCAGUGGGUUCGGCAUCCGACCUCGCCAACUUACCCACUAGGUCUAUUCAG